ensembl:snRNA U1 U1 spliceosomal RNA
UUACUUACCUGGCAAAGGAGACAUUGUGGUAACAGUGGUGGCAAGGCUCACCCAGGGCAAGGCUCACCCAAUGCACUGGGAUGUGCUGACCCCUAUGAUUUCCACCAAUGUGGGAAACUUGCCUAAAUUAUUUGGAUUAGUGGGAGGACUGCUUUUGCACUCUCCUC